rnacentral:tRNA from 1 species
AGAGGGCAUGCGUAUUCGAACCACGGAUUUUUCGAUCUGCAGUGAAAUACUUUACCAUUGAGCUAUACCACC